AUGAAUGAGCUUGUUAAGAGAAGUCUUCAUAGAACUAUUCUUCUAUACGUCUAUGCUUUUAUUGGAGGAUGUAUGUUCUAUGUCAUUGAGUACAAGCCUGAAAGGAGCAGGAUUGCUUAUACAAGACUUAGGCACGAGCUCCAACGUAACUUUACAAAAAGAUUUAAUAUAUCCGUGAACGAGAGUGAUUUCGAACGGUUUAUGCAGACAGCUUUCGAGAUUGUAAGAAAUGGCAACAAAGCAGAUUGGGGAAUUUUAACCGGUACUUCAUUUGCGAUGACGUCAUUAACCACAAUUGGUUAUGGACACAUAACACCUGAAACACAACUUGGACAAUUUUUCACCGUCAUUUAUUGCAUUGUGGGACUGCCAUUAUCAACGCUGGCUUUGAAGUCAAUCGGAGAACUAAUCGCCAAGAUGGUAUAUAAGAUCGUUUAUCGUGUGGAGACAAAAUUACUUUUUAGGAUAAGACCUCGGAAGGUUAAGAUAAAAACCUUUUUCAUAACUUUCACACUGAUGAUUUUGACGUUAUGUAUUGGUGCUCUAGCAGGGAAAUACCUGGAAGGUUGGACUUUCAUAGAAGGCUUCUACGCAUGGUUUGCUUCACUCUCCACCAUCGGAUACGGCGACUACGUUCCUGGUUGGAAAAUAUUGAAAAAUGCCGAAGACUCUGCAGCAGACAUUUGGAUAUUGAUAACAGCACUAUCCCUCCCCGGUAUGGCAACACUUUGUGUAGUCUCAGGUGUGGUUAAUUCACUUGUUGAAGCUUAUAAUGAAUUCAAAAUACAAUGUAACGUUUGUUCUCGAUGUCCUGCAUGCAGAAGGAGAAAGUCUGAGAAAUCUAAAGGAAAACGCAAGAAGAAAAAGUCUGCAGGUGGUGCAACACAAGAAAAACACAGAAAAGUCGAGUCCCUAUACGCUUGCAGCGAAAGCGAAAGAUCGACUACUGUUUAGUCGACCAAAUACAUUUUAAGACGCACUAGGAUACAGUUUUUUUUAACAAGAAUGUUUUAUAACGAUCGAGAUUAGUAUUUCUCUUGUUUUACCGACUUUUCCAUGGUAAUGUCUUUUAUUGCUUGGCAAUUUUUGCACGUUAGUUUGUUUCAAAAAAAAAAUGAUAGCAAUUACCACAUUACUUAGUAAUAGAAAGAAAAAAAAUAUACGAAAGUAUCAGGAAUGGUGAUGAAAAUAAUUAAAUGUAAAUCAAAUUAGUCCAAUUUAUUCUUCAUAGUAAUCCGUAAGUCACUGAACUUGGAACGAACCUAAUCUUAACAAUUUUCAAACCUUUUCCUUGCUUCUCCACUACGUUGCAAUUAAGAGAACUUUUAAAAAACCUUUGACGAUGCAAAUGAAUAAGCUGGUGGUUAUGAUGAAUAAUUCAAAGUGUCAAUGAGUCAUAUACAAACAUUUGGUCUUAAUAUGAAUAAUACCGACAUCUUAAAUGUGCCGAAAACGUGCCAUCAGACGCUGUUUGUCCAUCUAAUGCGGCAACAAGAUUAAGCAGGCUGUUAAAAAAUAAGGUUGAAUUCUCCUAUACUUAGAAGAUAUGAAAUUCCUACCAUUUCACCGAUGUUUUUCCUGUUAUUCAACUCAACCAGAUAAAUGCAAGAGAGGAUAAAAUUAAUACGUUUCUUGAUAGAUAUCAAAUCGGGGG
rnacentral:misc_RNA from 1 species